rnacentral:rRNA from 1 species
ACUAAAGUCAAACAUCCCCCAAACUGUUAUACGCUCCCGGGGACAGGAUGCCCCACCACGAAAGUGACUUUAACACUUCUCCCGAACCCACCACAGCUAUGAAACAAACUGGGAUUAGAUACCCCACUAUGCUUAGCCAUAAACUUUGAUAGUACUUUACACCCACUAUCCGCCCGGGAACUACAAGCGCCAGCUUCAAACCCAAAGGACUUGGCGGUGCUUCAAACCCACCUAGAGGAGCCUGUUCUAGAAUCGAUAAUCCCCGUUCAACCUCACCACCUCUGGCUAAUUCCGCCUAUAUACCGCCGUCGUCAGCUUACCCUUUGAAGGCCUCAUAGUAAGCAUAACGGGCACAGCCCCAAACGUCAGGUCAAGGUGUAGCGUAUGAGAUGGAAAGAAAUGGGCUACAUUCUCUAAUCCCAGAGAACACGAAAGGUACAAUGAAAUACGUACCCGAAGGAGGAUUUAGCAGUAAGAAGAAAAAACGAGUGUUCUUCUGAAGCCGGCUCUGAAGCGCGCACACACCGCCCGUCACUCUCCCCAAAUAUAACCCACCUAGUUAAUAAAAAACCUUUUAAACGAAGGGGAGGCAAGUCGUAA